AUUGAACGCUGGCGGCAGGCCUAACACAUGCAAGUCGAGCGGAUGAGUGGAGCUUGCUCCAUGAUUCAGCGGCGGACGGGUGAGUAAUGCCUAGGAAUCUGCCUGGUAGUGGGGGACAACGUUUCGAAAGGAACGCUAAUACCGCAUACGUCCUACGGGAGAAAGUGGGGGAUCUUCGGACCUCACGCUAUCAGAUGAGCCUAGGUCGGAUUAGCUAGUUGGUGAGGUAAAGGCUCACCAAGGCGACGAUCCGUAACUGGUCUGAGAGGAUGAUCAGUCACACUGGAACUGAGACACGGUCCAGACUCCUACGGGAGGCAGCAGUGGGGAAUAUUGGACAAUGGGCGAAAGCCUGAUCCAGCCAUGCCGCGUGUGUGAAGAAGGUCUUCGGAUUGUAAAGCACUUUAAGUUGGGUAGGAAGGGCAGUAAGUUAAUAACCUUGCUGUUUUGACGUUACCAACAGAAUAAGCACCGGCUAACUUCGUGCC
rnacentral:rRNA from 1 species